UCAAGCUACAUAGGGCACAUGAAGGAUGCCUUGGCAUCAGCAGGCGAAGAAGGACGUGGCAAGCUGCGAUAAGCCUCGGGGAGCUGCAUACAAGCUUUAAUCCGGGGAUUUCCGAAUGGAGCAAUCCAGCAGAAGUAAUGUUCUGUUAUCUGCAACUGAAUACAUAGGUUGCAGAGGCGAUACUCAGUGAAGUGAAACAUCUCAGUAACUGAAGGAAUAGAAAUCAACCGAGAUUCCGCAAGUAGUGGCGAACGAACGCGGAAUAGCCUAAACCGGCAGGUUUACCUGUCGGGGUUGCGGGACUUAGACAUGACAUGCGGCCGGUUAGCACAACCGUCUGGGAAGUCGGGCCAUAGAGGGUGACAGCCCCCUGUGCGAAAACUGAAAGCAGUCUAUAAGUAUCCCAAGUAGGUCGGCACACGUGAAACUCCGACUGAAUCCGGGGAGACCACUCUCCAAGGCUAAAUACUAGCUGAUGACCGAUAGUGAAACAGUACCGCGAGGGAAAGGUGAAAAAGUACCCCUUUUAGGGGAGUGAAAAGUAUCUGAAAUCAUGUGCCUGCAAAGUGUGGGAGCCCUUCUGGGGUGACCGCAUGCCUUUUGCAUAAUGAGCUUGCGACUUACUUUAAGCAGCCAGGUUAAGCCAUAGGCGGAGCCGAAGCGAAAGCGAGUGUUAAUAGCGCGUCAAGUUGCUUGAAGUAGACCCGAAGCUGAGUGAUCUAUCCAUGGUCAGGUUGAACCUCCGGUAACACGGAGUGGAGGACCGAACCGGUGAGCGUUGAAAAGCUUUCGGAUGAACUGUGGAUAGGAGCGAAAGACCAAUCAAACUCAGUGAUAGCUGGUUCUCUUCGAAAUAUCUUGAGGGAUAGCCUUACGCCAUUGACUUACGGGGGUAGAGCACUGAUUGUCCGCGGGUCCUUACCGGGAUACCAACGACUGUCAAACUUCGAAUACCGUUAAGUUUUACCGUAGGAGUCAGACUGUGGGGGAUAAGCUUCAUAGUCGAGAGGGAAACAACCCAGAUCGCCGUCUAAGGUCCCUAAUUUAAGCUAAGUGGUUUGAAGGAUGUGAAGUUGCGUAAACAACCAGGAUGUUGGCUUAGAGGCAGCCAUCAUUUAAAGAUCGCGUAAUAGCGCACUGGUCGAGUGAUUUUGCGCCGAAGAUGAUCGGGACUAAGCUUAAAACCGAAGACGCGGAUGUACAGCAAUGUACGUGGUAGAAGAGCGUUGUAUGAGGAGCGAAGCGUGAAUGAGAAUGAGCGUGGACUUCAUACAAGUGACCAUGCAAGCAUGAGUAGCGAAAAACCGGAUGGAAAUUCCGGUCACCGUAAGACCAAGGUUUCCCGGGGAAGGUUCGUCCGCCCGGGGUUAGCCGGAUCCUAAGGCCAGGCCGAAAGGCGUAGUCGAUGGACAACGGGUUAAUAUUCCCGUGCCGCCUUAACGGAGUGACGGAGUGACGCAGUAUGCUAAGCGAGCUGGCUAUAUGCCAGUCUAAUGUCGUAGGACGUCAGGGGUUAAAUGACCUGACAUCAAGUCUGAAAACGGAUGGGACUCGAAGCCUUCGGGUAACGGGGAUUCGCUGAUGCUUUGCUGACGAGAAAAGCUCCUAAACGUUGAUGUUUUGGCGUCCGUACCGUAAACCGACACAGGUGGUCGAGGCGAGUAGCCUAAGGUGCGCGAGUGAAACCACUUCAAGGAACUCGGCAAAUUAGCCCCGUAACUUUGGGAGAAGGGGUGCCGAACGGGUGCAUAGCCCGGACGGUUUCAACAAAGAGGCCGCGGCGACUGUUUAACAAAAACAUAGCUCUCUGCUAACUCGCAAGAGGAUGUAUAGGGAGUGACACGUGACCAAUGCCGAAAGGUCAAUCGGAUCCGUUAGCAGAAAUGCGAAGCGGUGAUGUGAAGCCCCGGUGAAUGUCGGCCGUAACUAUAACGGUCCUAAGGUAGCGAAAUUCCUUGUCGGGUAAGUUCCGACCUGCACGAAUCGUGUAACGAUCGCGGCACUGUCUCGAAGUGGAGCUCGGCGAAGUUGUAAUUCCGGUGAAAAUGCCGGAUACCUGCAGUAGGACGGAAAGACCCUGUGAACCUUUACUGUAAUCUGAUAUUGGCAUUCGGGUG
rnacentral:rRNA from 1 species